AACGAACGCUGGCGGCAUGCCUAACACAUGCAAGUCGAACGAGACCUUCGGGUCUAGUGGCGCACGGGUGCGUAACGCGUGGGAACCUGCCCUUAGGUUCGGAAUAACUCCCCGAAAGGGGUGCUAAUACCGGAUAAUGUCUUCGGACCGAUGAUUUAUCGCCUUUGGAUGGGCCCGCGUUGGAUUAGCUAGUUGGUGGGGUAAAAGCCUACCAAGGCGACGAGCCAUAGCUGGUCUGAGAGGAUGAUCAGCCACACUGGGCCUGGGACAGGGCCCAGACGCGGGAAGAGGGCAGGAGGGGGGAAAGUUUGAAGCGGGGACGAAGCGUGAGGGAUCAAGGCCGGGGGGGUGUGAACGGCUUUAGGGUGUGAAAGCGCCUUUACCGGGGUUGUUAUGAGCGGAGUGGGUAAAAAAGCCCCGGCUAACUACGGG
rnacentral:rRNA from 1 species